rnacentral:lncRNA from 1 species
AAUGUGUUUAGGAUUGAACCCGCGUCCUUCAGUAUGAGCAGCUUCUGUAACCACGAUAGUGUGAAGCCGCUCUGGAGUGGGAGAACGAGUUGUUACCCUCAAUUGCUCGAGGAGCUGAAUGGAGGCAUGGUUUGAAUUUCGCGGACGAAAUUCUUUUAAGGGGUAGAGUGUAACAUACCGGAUUUUGAUAUAAAAGUAAAAAUAAAUAAAAAUAGUGUAAGAUACUACUUUUAUUGGAUUUAGUGGAGUAAAAUAUAAGUCAGAAAUGACUUGUGCUGAAAUCGGAAUGAAAACAUAAAAUUUAGAAUUUUCUGUGAGAGACGGAGCAGAUAUUUUAGCAGAAAAUGCACAGUGUCAGAAAAUUAUGAAAACUGGAGAAUAUGUCAGAAUUAUUUUUAUGAUGCUAUAUUUAAAGUUUCAUACCAUUCUGACACCCGGAAAAUGAAAAAUAAAAUCCGACUGCUAUCUGCUAGAGAUUACAGUUCGGUAGAGCUUUCGGUGACCAAAUAUGGUCGAAACUGAAAGAUUAAAAUUUCUUUCGUUAAGUAAAAUCGUUCCUGACUGUCAAGUUUGAGCUCAAACGGACAUUCAGAAGGGCAAGCGAAAAAUAUCUGUACCUGAGCUGCAAACUGAAGUGAAUAGUGUUGAGGGUGUUAAUUAUAAAAGAAGCAUUCGCUUCUUCUUCUCCUUCAACCGAAUGCGCACACAACACACACCCGCACACUUCUUCUCCCCCUCCCUCACACUU